rnacentral:rRNA from 1 species
AGCGAACGCUGGCGGCAGGCUUAACACAUGCAAGUCGAACGGGCAUCUUCGGAUGUCAGUGGCAGACGGGUGAGUAACACGUGGGAACGUACCCUUCGGUUCGGAAUAACUCAGGGAAACUUGAGCUAAUACCGGAUACGCCCUUUUGGGGAAAGGUUUACUGCCGAAGGAUCGGCCCGCGUCUGAUUAGCUUGUUGGUGGGGUAACGGCCUACCAAGGCGACGAUCAGUAGCUGGUCUGAGAGGAUGAUCAGCCACACUGGGACUGAGACACGGCCCAGACUCCUACGGGAGGCAGCAGUGGGGAAUAUUGGACAAUGGGCGCAAGCCUGAUCCAGCCAUGCCGCGUGAGUGAUGAAGGCCUUAGGGUUGUAAAGCUCUUUUGUCCGGGACGAUAAUGACGUUACCGGAAGAAUAAGCCCCGGCUAACUUCGUG